rnacentral:rRNA from 1 species
UACGUAGGUGGCAAGCGUUGUUCGGAAUUACUGGGCGUAAAGGGCUCGUAGGCGGCCAACUAAGUCAGACGUGAAAUCCCUCGGCUUAACCGGGGAACUGCGUCUGAUACUGGAUGGCUUGAGAUUGGGAGAGGGAUGCGGAAUUCCAGGUGUAGCGGUGAAAUGCGUAGAUAUCUGGAGGAACACCGGUGGCGAAGGCGGCAUCCUGGACCGGCAUUGACGCUGAGUGAGCGAAAGCCAGGGGAGCAAACGGG